UGGGUAAGUGGACAUGGUUAAGUGUGUUCACCCAACAUUCUGAAUUCCUCACUGCACGGGAGUUGACCUUAAAGGUGUACAACAAAACAUCUGAAGUGGAGGUAGAGAAAGGAAUGGUUGUGGGGGGCGAAGAAAAGAGCGUGGUGGAGAGUUUCCGCAGCUUAUUGGCCCUUCUAGAAAUUUGAUAGUCAUUAAACAAUGGCAUUGCAUUUUUGCUUGUUUUUAACAUAAAGGAGGGGUAAAAUUGUUGGAUUGUCAAUUUAUUAAUUGUUUAUUUUAA